rnacentral:sRNA from 1 species
CCUCGGGCAGGGUAGCCCCCGGCUUCAUCUGAGGCGGACGCCGCAGUGUAGGGCACACCCUGAGGGUAGCGAGAGACGUGACAGGACCGAGCAGCUGGGGGCUGCAGCCUGCUGUGUCCCCACCGAUCCCAGAGAGAGGCUGUGAGUCUGGAUCUGGGCGUUCGCACCCUGAGAGAGGGGGUCAAAGCUCCCCUGCGGCCCCGAGGAAGAAGAGCAAGGUUGAGGACCGCCUCGGGUCACCAGAGUAGUUUGGAGGCAGGCCUGCAGGCGCGUCCCCGCUCCUCAGCUCCAAGCUGACGUAUCUACACCUGCCGGCGGGCAUUGAGAUGGCUGGUUAUGCCACUACUCCCAGCCCCGUGCAGACCCUUCAGGAGGAAGCGGUGUGUGCCAUCUGCUUGGAUUACUUCAAGGACCCCGUGUCCAUCAGCUGCGGGCACAACUUCUGCCGAGGGUGUGUGACCCAGCUGUGGGGUAAGGAGGACGAGGAGGAAGAUGAAUGGGAGGAGGAGGAGGAGGACGAGGAGGCGGUGGGGGCCGUGGAUGGAUGGGACGGCUCCAUUCGAGAGGUGUCGUAUCGGGGGAAUGCUGACGAAGAGUUGUUCCAAGACCAAGAUGACGAUGAACUCUGGCUCGGUGACAGUGGUAGAACUAAUUGGGACAACGUAGACUAUAUGUGGGACGAGGAGGAAGAAGAAGAGGAAGAUCAGGACUGUUACCUAGGAGGCUUGAGACCUGACCUGAGGAUUGAUGUCUACCGAGAAGAAGAAGAAACACUGGAAGCAUACGAUGAGGACGAAGAUGAAGAGCUGUAUCCUGACAUCCACCCGCCUCCUUCCUUGCCCCUUCCAGGGCAGUUCACCUGCCCCCAGUGCCGAAAGAGCUUUACACGUCGCAGCUUUCGUCCCAACUUGCAGCUGGCCAACAUGGUCCAGAUAAUUCGCCAGAUGUGCCCCACUCCUUAUCGGGGAAACCGGAGUAAUGAUCAGGGCAUGUGCUUUAAACACCAGGAAGCCCUGAAACUCUUCUGUGAGGUGGACAAAGAGGCCAUCUGUGUGGUGUGCCGAGAAUCCAGGAGCCACAAACAGCACAGCGUGCUGCCUUUGGAGGAGGUGGUUCAGGAGUACCAGGUGAGAGAAAUGAGGGAAUGUGGGGGGAUGAAGGGAGUGGAAAGGUAACUAGGAGAGCUGAGGAAUGAGUAGCAUUCCUUUCCCACCUCCUCAGGUGCUUAGUUGCUAAACUUCUCUUUCUUUGAUGAGGGAGACACGGUGGAGAGAGAUGGUCAUGUGGGUAAAAAAGGAGACACAAAACCAUGAAGAUUGGGGCAGAUUGGCUUCCCCAGAGGAAGCUGAACAGAUAAUAUGACGGUCACUGGAAGCGGACCACUACUGCUAAUACUGGCAGUCUACCUAAGUGUAAGGAACAUGAGUAACAGAUACCCAGUACUUCAUUUCUCUCUAAUGUGAGUCCUUGACCAAUUCCCUGGGACAGGUGCAGAUAGGAAUAGAAAGCCACAGUACUUGGAGAUAAUAGACAUUUGGGACCUCAGCACAAGCAGUGUCAAAAUAGAUGUAUUGGUAGACAGAAAUGCCAGAUGUGAGUCCUAAACUACUGGUAGCAAUUGGCCACACCCCCCUCUCAAAGUCUGGGAUUGCAUCUCUACCUUCAGUGGGGUCCGUUUUCCUUCUAGAGAAAGGCAAAGCAUUUAAGCAUCUUUGAUGGAUCAGAAUGUGCCUCAUAUCCUGAUCACUUUUCUUUCCUGGUAUUUUAUCAUAGUGGAAGGAGUGCGGGAUUUAGGAUCAGAUGACCUGGCUCUGCCACUUACUGUCUAGUCUUGGGCAGGUGUCAACCUCCUUGAGCUUCACUUUUUCCCUAGGAUUGCAAGGAUUAAAAGAGAUCAUAUAUGUUAACCAUAAAGCACUAAACAAAUGUUUGCUGUUUUAUUUGGCUUUCUUGUAACUUGUCUUCCCUUGUUUGGGUGCUGAUAUGGUUAAUGCCUUGCUUUCUAGUCUUGACUUCUAAGCAUUAGAUAAUUGUCUCAAUGACAAUGAGCAUGAGUACCAUCUUCCUUACCAAAAGUCUAGGUAGAUUUGACUCCUAGCAGUGCCCAAACGAAGGAGAGGUUGUCUUCAGGCCCAGAAAGGUUGACCUGGAUAUGCAGCAGCCGCUGCUCACGUCUUAGUAGUGCUUUACAGUUUAUAAAAUAUAUUUCCUCGUAUUCUCCUAUAGCAGUGGUUUUCAAAUUGUUUUUUGACCAAUUAGUGUGUCUUAAAAUAAAUGGGUCAUGCCUAGCAUUAUCUCAAAAUGAAGAAAGAGAAAAUAUUAGAACACAUGGAACAUAGGGUAAGUAUUCCUUUAUGAAACUUUUAAGUUAUAUAUAUAUACAUGUAUAUACUUCGUCUAAAAAUAUAUUGCUUUCUUUGAGUUGCAGUCAAAACACAAACAGAGCACUGUCCUACAGGCUUCAUAUAUUAGAUAUUAUUAUCACCCCCCUGCCCCCAUUUUAUAGCAAAUAUUAGUAAGUGCACAGUUAAGGCACAAAUCUAACCAUAAGUCACUGCUACCUCUGUUACAUUAACCUGACUUGAAGGACAAAUCCUAGUACCAUGUUUUCACCCAAGGUGAUAACUAAAGUAUCCCAUGGAAAAAACUUAUGUCCUAUGCUUCUGGGUUUUAGUACACUGAAGCUGAGGAAAAGAGAGAACCUUCUAUUUCUCUCCUAACUUUUUUUUUUGAGACGGUGUCUUGCUCUGUUGCCCAGGCAGAAGUGCAAUGGCAUGAUCUCGGCUCACUGCAACCUCUGUUUCCCGGGUUCAAGUGAUCCUCCUGUCUCAGCACCCCUAGUAGUUGCGAUUACAGGCACAUGCCACCAUGCCCAGCUAAUUUUGCAUUUUUAGUAGAGAUGGGGUUUCACCAUGUUGGCCAGGCUGGUCUUGAACUCCUGACCUCAGGAGAUCCACCACCUGGGCCUCCCAAAGUGCUGGGAUUACAGGCAUGAGCCAUUGUGCGCAGCCUUCCUCAGCUAACUUUUAUCAUCAUCCCCUUCCCCCAUUUUAUAGUAAAUAUUGGUAAGUGCACAGUUAAGACACAAAUCUUUUUUCAUUUUUAUUUAUUUAUUUAUUUAUUUGAGCUGGAGUCUCGCUCUGUCAUCAGGCUAGAGUGCAGUGGUGCGAUCUCAGCUCACUGCAACCUAUGCCUCCCGAGUUCAAGUGAUUUUCCUGCCUCAGCCUCCCAAGUAGCUGGGAAUACAGGUGCGCACCACCACGCCCAGCUAAUUUUUGCAUUUUUAGUGUAGACGGGGUUUCACCAUGUUGGCCAGGAUGGUCUCAGUCUCUUGACCUCCUGAUCCCCCCGCCUCGGCCUCCCAAAGUGCCGGGAUUACAGAUGUGAGCCACCAUGCCUGGCUGUCUCUUUCAUUCUUUAGGCAGUUCAUUGUCACUUCCUUCCAUUGGUAAACAUGUAAAUUAUAGUCGCAUGAUUUAGAAUUUUACUGACCAAAGUCAUAAUAAUAGUUAACAGUACAAGGAACUAUUUUUGUAUAAUGGUUUAUUUAAUACAGUAUACAUUAUCUUUCAUAUACUUUGUUACAAUGUUAAAAAAAACUUCAUUUUUCAUAACACAGGAAAUAAAGUUGGAAACAACUCUGGUGGGAAUACUUCAGAUAGAGCAAGAAAGCAUUCACAGCAAGGCCUAUAAUCAGUAAGAUGUGUGAAAAGUUGGGUAGCCAUAGGAGGUGUUCAUUAAGGAUAUGAUUCCAUUUAUAUAGCUAUUUCUAUUGCAUAACCAGGACAGUUUUAUUGUUUUGAGGUCAAUGUUCUUUUAAAAUUUGAUUUUCUGUAAGAAGAGGCUUUUUGGCCCAGAAAGCCUUACUUAUUUUACAUCUUCCAGUUUGUCCAUCCCAUGAGUUAGAGUUCGUCUUGACUCUGCAAGCUAGAAUCAAAGAAUUAUGAAAGUAAGAUCAUUUAGAUUUGACCAAGGGCACCAUUAAAUGGUGUCAGGUUUUAGGAAGCAGACGGGUGUAUAAAAAGAAAAUGAACAAAGAUUUCACUUAUUGGGGAUCAGGCAUAACUGGAUGCCUGGAUUGUCCUGCCACCCAGCUGCCACCAAUAAAAUCAUUAAUCACUCUGCAAGAGGGACCAGAUGCUUCCAUCAUCAGUACUCCUUGUUUUUCUGUUAUCUCCUUUGAGGUAGCUAAAAAUGGCAGCCAAAAAAAAAUGUUGAGGCUUUUCUCAAGUAUAUACUCAUGUUAUUUUGCAGAAGAUAGGGUCAACUUCUUCAGUUGAGUUAUCUGAAAGUGUUGGGCAGUGACACCAUGCCAAACACUGUUAAAUUCAUGCCAUUAAAAACAGUGGAGUGUUCUGCAAAGCCCGAUUCUCUGCAGCUUUAAGACUGGACAGUAUUGAAAUAUUCACAGGAAUCUUCCAAGCCAUGAAAGCUUAAUAUUAGACAGCCCUUUUAAUUGCAAAGGAGAAAAAAAUGGAGACACUUGUGAAACCUUGCAUUCUGAGUGCUGCCACAAAUAAAUUAAGGAAUUCCAGAAUUUCUUCAUCUACUUCUGCAGUCUUAACUCUGAAUUAAUGACUGAAUAUAUCAAACUUCAGAUCUUAAAAAACAUCAGCUCGCAAGAGGCUGAGGCAGGAGAAUGACAUGAACCUGGGAGGCGGAGCUUGCAGUAAGCCGAGACUGAGCCACUGCACUCCAGCCUGGGCAAUAGAGCAAGACUCCAUCUC